UUGUCUAUUUUCUUCCACUACCAUAGUUUGUGAUUUAUUUUUCUUUCUCUUAUAGCCACAAGGCCCACAGUGGCUAUACAUGAUGCAGCGCAGCUCGUGCGCCAUCAACUGUUUUCAUGAUUCUUUGUUCUAGUUGUGACUCCAACAGCAAUCUCUUUGUGAUAACUAGUGCAAAAUAAUGUCGAAUUCAAUGAUUGGCUAAGACACUGAAAGCGCAACACUUUUGGGUUUGUUUGCCAAAUUUAUUCAGUUUGGUCGCCGCCAUUAGCGUUAUUUUUUCUCCACGCGGCAAGGUUUAGAGUUUUUUUCCAUAUGGAAUUCAUGCUUGAAUUCUCCCAUUUUCUUUUCUCCAUUUGGUCAGCUGGCUUGGAGCUUCCGUGGCACACUUUUUGUUUCUAGAAAAAGAAGCAAAGGGUUCGGAGGAGCUGGAAAGUUGUUGGGGGCAUUGGCUAGGAAAGGUUAAGUGUGUGCAUUGGCAGUUGUUGGUUUCAUAUCAUACAAGACAUUAAAAUAAUAUUGAUUUCUCUUGUAUUGUGCAGGCUAAAUGGCUUUAAGUUUGAUAAUUUAGUAUACGAAUGAGUUCCAAGCUUUUACUAAAAACUUGGAACGAGGAAAACAUGUCUUAUGUUUGGAUAUUAGCUAGUACAAUAGCUUCACAAUGUAUGACCAGAU
rnacentral:lncRNA from 1 species